GACGGGGACCCGCACAAGCGGUGGAUGAUGUGGAUUAAUUCGAUGCAACGACGAAAAACCUUACCUACCCUUGACAUGUACGGAACCCUGCUGAGAGGUGGGGGUGCUCGAAAGAGAGCCGUAACACAGGUGCUGCAUGGCUGUCGUCAGCUCGUGUCGUGAGAUGUUGGGUUAAGUCCCGCAACGAGCGCAACCCUUGUCAUUAGUUGCUACGCAAGAGCACUCUAAUGAGACUGCCGGUGACAAACCGGAGGAAGGUGGGGAUGACGUCAAGUCCUCAUGGCCCUUAUGGGUAGGGCUUCACACGUCAUACAAUGGUCGGUACAGAGGGUUGCCAAGCCGCGAGGUGGAGCCAAUCCCAGAAAGCCGAUCGUAGUCCGGAUCGCAGUCUGCAACUCGACUGCGUGAAGUCGGAAUCGCUAGUAAUCGCGGAUCAGCAUGUCGCGGUGAAUACGUUCCCGGGUCUU
rnacentral:rRNA from 1 species